rnacentral:rRNA from 1 species
ACUACGGGAGGCAGCAGUGAGGAAUAUUGGUCAAUGGGCGGAAGCCUGAACCAGCCAAGUCGCGUGAGGGAUUAAGGCCCUGCGGGUCGUAAACCUCUUUUGCCGGGGAGCAGAGGUCCGGACGUGUCCGGGCCGGGAGAGUACCCGGAGAAAAAGCAUCGGCUAACUCCGUGCCAGCAGCCGCGGUAAUACGGAGGAUGCGAGCGGUAUCCGGAUUUAUUGGGUUUAAAGGGUGCGUAGGCGGGCAUUUAAGCCGGCGGUCAAAUGUCGGGGCUCAACCCCGGCCUGCCGUCGGAACUGGGUGCCUUGAGUGGGCGAGAAGUAUGCGGAAUGCGUGGUGUAGCGGUGAAAUGCAUAGAUAUCACGCAGAACUCCGAUUGCGAAGGCAGCAUACCGGCGCUCAACUGACGCUCAUGCACGAAAGUGUGGGUAUCGAACAGGAUUAGAUACCCCGGUAGUC